rnacentral:hammerhead_ribozyme from 1 species
AUCCAGCUGACAAGUCACAAAUAGAACGAAACACGCGUCCUGGAU